rnacentral:rRNA from 1 species
AGCAGCCGCCGCGGGAAUACGAAGGGUGCAAGCGUUACUCGGAAUUACUGGGCGUAAAGCGUGUGUAGGUGGUUGUUUAAGUCUGUCGUGAAAGCCCUGGGCUCAACCUGGGAAUUGCGAUGGAUACUGGGCGACUAGAGUGCGGUAGAGGAUAGUGGAAUUUCCGGUGUAGCAGUGAAAUGCGUAGAGAUCGGAAGGAACAUCUGUGGCGAAGGCGACUAUCUGGGCCAACACUGACACUGAGACACGAAAGCGUGGGGAGCAAACAGGAUUAGAUAUCCGUGUAGUCCCUGUCUCUUAUAC